GGGCUUGUAGCUCCAUGGUAAAGUGCUUGCCUUGCAAGCAUGAGGCCCUGGGUUCAAUCCUCAGCACCA
rnacentral:tRNA from 1 species